ACGGAGGGUGCAAGCGUUAUCCGGAUUCACUGGGUUUAAAGGGUGCGUAGGCGGUCAGGUAAGUCAGUGGUGAAAUCCUGGAGCUCAACUCCAGAACUGCCAUUGAUACUAUCUGUCUUGAAUAUUGUGGAGGUAAGCGGAAUAUGUCAUGUAGCGGUGAAAUGCUUAGAUAUGACAUAGAACACCCAUUGCGAAGGCAGCUUACUACGCAUAUAUUGACGCUGAGGCACGAAAGCGCGGGGAUCAAACAGGAUUAGAUACCCUGGUAGUCCACGCCCUAAACUAUGGAUACUCGACAUAUGCGAUACACUGUAUGUGUCUGAGCGAAAGCAUUAAGUAAUCCACCUGGGAAGUACGAUCGCAAGAUUA
rnacentral:rRNA from 1 species